ACUCAAAUGAAUUGACGGGGGCCCGCACAAGCAGCGGAGCGUGCGGUUUAAUUCGAUGGUACGCGAAGAACCUUACCCAGACUUGACAUGCGAGUGGUAGGAAGCCGAAAGGUAACCGACCCGCAAGGGAGCUCGUACAGGUGUUGCACGGCUGUCGUCAGCUCGUGUCGUGAGAUGUUGGGUUAAGUCCCGCAACGAGCGCAACCCUCGGGGUCUGUUGUAUCUCUCAGAUCCCACUGCCGAGAGAAACUCGGAGGAAGGUGGGGACGAAGUCAAGUCCGCGUGGCCUUUAUGUCUGGGGCUACACGCACGCUACAAUCGCCGGUCACAGCGGGUCGCGACAACGCAAGUUGAAGCUAAUCCCUUAAAACCGGCGUCAGUUCAGAUCGAAGGCUGCAACCCGCCUUCGUGAAGUCGGAGUUGCUAGUAACCGCGGGUCAGCACACCGCGGUGAAUAUGUUCCCGGGCCUUGUACACACCGCCCGU
rnacentral:rRNA from 1 species